GGACAGAAGGGGGAAGAAGGCACUAGAACCUCUAACCAGGCACAGCUCUAGCAUUCAAUGGCCAGUUCUGCUGUUACUGUCGUCUGCGAUGGGAUGUCUUUCUGAAGGCUUUCCAGUUGGUCCAGGGCAAAGACUCCUUCAUGAUGUCCUGUAACUGAGGAGCCAACACCUGCUUCUCCUCAGGACAUGGACUCCUUUAGCCAUCUAUUCAGGCAGAGUCACCACAAAAUGCAAAGGAAAUAGAUCUUCUAUGCAAGUGCGGGACAGAUGUCACAACUUCAGUACCAACCAUUCACCUGUGAUCAAGUGCAAUCCGCAUCAGCUAGGUUCUGUGGUAUCUUUCUAGUACAAGAUGAGACCAUCCGCCUGGAAACUGCUUCUCUGACAGUUGCCCUCACUGUUCCCUGCAUGUUUCUAAUAUCCCUCACCACUCUACACAGUUUCCAUUUGUUCUCCCCAAUAACCACUAGACAGCAGACUUCAUCAGAGGCCCAAGGCCCUGAGGAGGGGUCCAUGUGAACUCAAAAGCAAGUAGCUACUGAUUUUAAGUGAUCACGUUUGUUCUUUAAAGGUCUUCAGCCAUAUUUUACGAAGACUAUUUUCUUAGAUCAGUUUUAGAGACUUCCCGUAGCUCCACAUCUCCGUAGGCGCGUGACUCCCUCCACGAUCACCCUCCUGAAGCAAAGUGGCAAGUGAUCCAGGGAAUGACUCAGCACUUCACAGUUUACAGAUUGCUCUAUAGCAACUGUGUGACACUUCAGAAAAAGCAAAGUCAUAGACGCUACCCAGCUCAUCACACUGGCAUCUUCCAAUGAACCAUGGUUUAUUUACCCACUCACUUGUUAAGUAUCUUAAUUGCUUCCAAGUUGGAUCAAUAAUGGAUGAUGCAGGUAUCAAUUUUCACCUGCAGAUUUCUGUGUGGACACAAAUUAUAACUCAUUUGAAUAAAUAUCAAGGAACAUUAUUAAUGGAUUAUAUAGUAAGAGUGUAAUUAGUUAAAAAACUGUCAAACUCUUUUCCAAAAUGCUAGCCCGCUCCUGUUGCUCACAUCUCCCCAUCAAUUACAGGUGGUGUUUUGAAUGUUGGUCAUUCUAACAGGUGUGCCAGUACCAUGCCGUUGUUUUAAUUGCCAGUCCCUUAAUGAUGUGGUAGUCAACAGCUUUUGUAGGAGACAAGGCAGGCAUGACCUGGCAACCAGCCUAUCUGGCACACUGCACUUCUAAAUAAGAAGCAUGGCACACCAUGCUCUUGAAGGUAGAACACUGAAUUCUGAAGGAGCAUGAGUGGCUGGUAGCUGGCUCGUAGACCAGUCUGCACUUUCCACUACUUUUAAUGUGCUUUUUCCUCAUAGAGAUCCUGGUGGUAUAUGCUAAUCGAUAGGAUUCCAUUAUAUAAGCGGAUGCUCAUGUGCAAUAAAGCAGAGGACAUUCCCUAAAACGGUGUCCAGAGUGGUUUAUCUCUAAUCCCUUUACCAACCCAUGGGCACUGUGGUCUUGCCAGGGGACAUCUCCCCACCCCGUAAC